GACGAACGCUGGCGGCGCGCUUAACACAUGCAAGUCGAGCGAAGCGGCGGACGGGUGAGUAACACGUGAGUAACCUGCCUUAGACAUUGGGAUAGCCUCGGGAAACCGGGAUUAAUACCAAAUGGUCUAAGAUGGACUAGCAUCCCAUUAGAUAGUUGGUGAGGUAACGGCCCACCAAGGCGAGGAUGGGUAGCCGGCGUGAGAGGGGGAGCGGCCACAUUGGAACUGAGAAACGGUCCGAACUCUACGGGAGGCAGCAGUGGUGAAUAUUGCACAAUGGAGGGAACUCUGAAGCAGCUACGCCGCGGGAACGAAGAAGGCUGUCAAGUCGUAAAGUUCUUUUAUAUGGAAAGCGGUACCAUAAGAAAAAGCCCCGGCUAACUACGUGCCAGCAGCCGCGGUAAUAC
rnacentral:rRNA from 1 species